GGCAGAUAAAUCAGUGAUGUUCUUUGUGUGAUCUGCUGUUGCUCCUUCUGUUGCUGUUGCUGCUGUAACUACAACUGUUGAUUCUAUUGCUAUUGAUACUGCUACUACUGCUGCUGCUGAAGCUCUGAGCUCCACCUCCUAUGGCUGCAUUUCUCGACAUAGGAGCUUAAUAAGUGCUUAUAAAAUUCUGUGGAAAGAGACACUGGAGCAUAACUUUGAUAGAACACAAAUACAAUAA
rnacentral:lncRNA from 1 species